UUUAAGCAAUUUAAGUGAUCCAGGAUUAAGACUGGUAAAGAUUGCAACAAACAGCUUUGAUCAUUCAAGCUGACUCACCCUCUCUCUUUCAUGAAUAUUCAAGGUAAUGCCCUUCAGAGCCAACUCAAGGCCUUUACGGUACUGCAGCCCGUAGUCCUGGAACUCUAUAGUACCUCUCUGGGGCCAGGCCAGGGGCAAGGAGCUGCCCUCUAUAUUCCAACUGGCCUGAAAACAAUGUUGUUUUCUACAUCAGUCCAGGAUCUCACGAUCCAACUCAGGAUCCCAGUCACCUGCAAUAUCCAAUGCAAUGAGGUCUCUGGAGAAGGGCAUGAAGUCGACCAUGCUGAGACGAGCAUUUGAUCUCCUAGAACCAGCUUCAAGAAAAGGACAUAUUGAAAUGUCUCCUCACCUCUCUGUAUAGCGCUCUCUUUUCGCUCUGUGCUGGCGAAGGUGUGGAUGAAGUCAGCAAAGGCACCAUGGCGGCUGAGGAGCUCCUGGUAUGAACCACUCUCUGUGAUUUCUCCAUCUACCAGGACGAAGAUAUGGUCAGCCUGCGGCAGGAAGCUCAUCCCAUGGGUCACCAGGAUGCGGGUCUGUGUAGCAAGCCGCACAAGUCAGAAAAAUAAGAUGUUCUGUUAGAUGUUUUACCUUAUCUCUAAGGACACCUUUGGGUCCAAUGACUUUGUCAAAGAUGUGUUGACCCACAUGUGCAUCAACAGCAGACAGCGGAUCAUCCAAGAGCAUCUCCAGCAGGUAGGAUGUCCAGGUCGGGCAGCAGUGCGCAGGCCUCUAGCACUCGGUGGUACCAUGUCUUCAGUUUCUCCCGGCCAAAUAUGAUGUUGUCUUGGACUGUGGCGUUCUGGAUCCAGGCCUGUUGGGGCACAUACGCCACAGAGCCCUGCAAAGACAGAUGUCAAACGGGAGGCUGUCAAUAUUUAUUAAAUGAAACCCACCACUAUGAAUAGAGCUUGCACAUGGAACAUAAGCUCAGUACCUUAACAGAGACACUCCCGCUUCUUUUCUCUGUUUCACCAAGCAUGGCGGACAACAAAGAGGACUUUCCACUCCCCACAUGUCCAACCACAGCGACGAGGGAACCUCGUGGCACAUGGACGUUGAUCCUGUCAACAAAGAAAGGAAUUUUACCGGUCCACAGGUCCUCUGCCACCAGCGGGGCACGAUAUCCUUUCACAACAAGCCUGAGCAAGGAGCGUGGAGAUGAUUCACACACAUGAUCGUCAACAAAACACACAAAUUAUCGUAAACAAGUACAAACUGUUGCUGUAGUGAGUCAGCUGAAGCCUAAAAAUGAAGGGGUUUUGAAGAACCAACUUACCCAGUGAACCACCAGAAGAGAAUCUUUGACAGGAAAGAGGCAUCUUUCACUGGACAGGGAUUCUGCAACAGAUUAAAGACCAGACUCACUGUUGUUUUCGCAGUAAAUCUUGCAGCGCUUAAAGGCUUUCGAGACAUACACAGCUUCACAGAGGCUCUCCGUUGACAGUUGAAUGGUGCACUUGUGAGGAGUGCUUUUAAAGAAUGCUUUGAAUGUGUUUUAGACAAAGCUGUACAGUCAGGUGGCCCAUUGUGGGGAGCAGAAGCCAUGAACUCCCACAGGACAGAAUAAAUAGAGUUCAGUGUUAGCGCAGGGUGAAGAUGACGUUUUGAGGUCUGGUGCAGACAGAGCGGAAAUGUGUCAUAACUGUCUAACAAGUGGAUACACACACACACACACGCAUGCACAAACAGAAAGUUCGUCCUCUCACGCAUGCUUUAUGGCAUCACUCCACCCUGCCACCCCCUCACCAGGGUGUUUGCUGUUUCAUUACUAGCACUCUUGCUCUUCAUCCCUUCGCUUCCUCUUUUCCUGUGAGUAACUCUAACCAGAGCGUGGGGCAGAGAGGAGAAAGAGGUGGAGGAAGAAGAGUAGGACACACCAAGGAGCGACCAAUGGGUGUGUCCCCCACGCCAGACUGCGGCUUCUGCAUCCUCAGCCUCCUCACCACUGGCGAAGAGCUUGUUAGGGACUUUUCCAGCUAUUUUGAUUGUUUAUAACCAGGGAAAUAUUACAGUGCCCUGUCUGUUUGAUUGAUUAGAUGCUCAUUUUCAUUCACCUGUCAGCCGGACUUGCUAUUUUGAGCUCGAAAAACGUUGCCAGGCACAUGUUUGAUGGGAUAGUGAGAUCUGCAUUAGGUAAUGCCUGUGCUGUUGUGGAGUCACAUAUUAUCCAGUCGUGUUGAUGGUAUGCAGGAGAAUGACGACAAACACGCAGCCGCACUCAUUCACACUCCCCUCAUAAGAAGCUAAAGCGGUGAGGCGGGAGUGGGAAAGGAAGGAGGUAUUGAAGGUGAAUCACAUCAUUUCCUCCAAAAGGGAAAACUGUCCUAACAACAAAAGUUGAAAACCACAAGACAGCUCAACCAUUUCCUGUGGCUCACAGUGAACGUUUUUUGACGGAAGUGGGAUACAUUCUUCUCUGCCUACCUUUUCCAAGAUGGGUUUUCCUUCUGGAGGUUGGUCAGCAAAACAGCACAGGAAGAGCUGGGCCAGUUGGAUUGUGAAGUAGGAGAAGAAGGCGAG